rnacentral:rRNA from 1 species
UACGAAGGGGGCUAGCGUUGUUCGGAAUUACUGGGCGUAAAGCGCACGUAGGCGGAUAUUUAAGUCAGGGGUGAAAUCCCGGGGCUCAACCUCGGAACUGCCUUUGAUACUGGGUAUCUUGAGUAUGGAAGAGGUAAGUGGAAUUGCGAGUGUAGAGGUGAAAUUAGUAGAUAUUCGCAGGAACACCAGUGGCGAAGGCGGCUUACUGGUCCAUUACUGACGCUGAGGUGCGAAAGCGUGGGGAGCAAACAGG